rnacentral:tmRNA from 1 species
GGGGGUGUAAAGGUUUCGACGGGGAAGUGAAUUUCUGGAUUGCACCGGGUCGGGGCAGGCGGCCGACCUUAAUAAACCUGCAACGGCUUAAUUGCCGACAACUAUAACACUCCUGUUGCACUAGCUGCUUAACAGGCGCCCCCAAUUGAGAUGCCGGUGGUAAAACGGGGGCGUCAUUCACUACCGGAUAGGGAUACGCGACGCCCGUAGCGUAACCCGAGAUCAACGGGACCGCCGGUUUGCUGCCUUGUCAAGUGCGCAACAAACCGGCUAAAUCGAGCAAUUGACUAACGGUGUAGUAAUUCAGAUCGUAGGUUCUUCGGACGCGGGUUCGAUUCCCGCCACCUCCACCA